CCCUACUGGACGACCUAUCGCAGUGAGCACAGGAGUCCUAGCCCCUCUCCCUCACCACACGACCCCACUGGUAGACCCACACUGUGGCAUCAACAUGAUAUACUGACAGGUGAGACCAGGACUCCAGCAGGUCCAGGUAACCCUAGGAGACAGUCUGGAGAGAGAGUCCUGUGGGCAACACGACGCUGGGAGACGGACUGCUGUUCCCUCCGACUCUACUAAACACACAGUUCAACUAUUAUUGUCCUGCUGAAAGGUGAAUUCGUCUCCCAGUGCUUGGUGGAACGCAGACUGAACCAGGUUUUCCUCUAGGAUUGUGCCUGUACUUCGCUCCAUUCAGUUUGCCCCAAACAAACAUUAAAACUUCAUAUUCAGGACAAAAAGUGAAUUGAUUUGCCACAUUUUUUGCACUAUUACUUUAGUGGAUUGCUGUGUUGU